UUCUUAUGCAUUGAAAUUUAUUUCUUGUAUCAGAUUUUUCAACUUGUGGAUCCAGUCAUAGCAUUACAUCCAUGUCCUUUAGUCUUGUAAGGAGAUCCCUAAACUAGCUGCAAUUUCUCAUAAUCUCAUCCAUCACAUCUUCAGGCAUCAUUAACUUGGAAACUUCUUGGUAUUUAAGCCACUUGGUUGUCCCCUUCAUCAAGUUGACAAC
rnacentral:lncRNA from 1 species